UACAGAGGUCCCAAGCGUUGUUCGGAUUCACUGGGCGUAAAGGGUGCGUAGGUGGUUGGGCAAGUCUGAUGUGAAAUCUCCGGGCUUAACCCGGAAAUGGCAUUGGAAACUGCCUGGCUAGAGUGUUGGAGGGGGGACUGGAAUUCUCGGUGUAGCAGUGAAAUGCGUAGAUAUCUGGAGGAAUACCGGUGGCGAAGGCGGCAUCCUGGACCGGCAUUGACGCUGAGUGAGCGAAAGCCAGGGGAGCAAACGGG
rnacentral:rRNA from 1 species